CUCCUGCGCCGCUCGGCUUUCUGUGAGGGAGCAGUCUCUGCCCCCGCCUCCCUCAGGGCUGCAGGGCACAGCCCCCACUGCCUCCCUUCAGCACAGCGGUGCUCUGGCCCCACCGCAGCCCACUCCACGGGAGCUGCCCCUGGCGCUGCCAGUCGUCUUCCAUCCCGCCUCGCCUUAAUUUUUCUACUCCUUCACUUCGCUGUUGCACCACCUCGCUGCAAAUACCCCUCCGAAGAGAUCUCUCAGUGUCCUGCUGAGGAAGCCUUGGGAUUUUCCCCGUGCGAAAAUGUAUUUGAGAUGCUGUUAUAGGUGCUUCAGAGCAGAAUGUCACACAAGCCAUGAAAUUAAGGUGAUACGAAAUUAAAGAGUGGCCCUCGUUUAAAUGUAACAAACAGAUCUCGUUAGCUGUGCCAGCGAGGAAGGGUGUACCUCGGUAGCCACAAGGAAUUUCUGGUUUCAGUGAAGCAACUGGUGGUUCUGAAAUGAGUUCACAGAUAGGUGCAAUAUAUUCCCUACAUACUUACCCCAUUAUAUGCCACAGAUCAUCAUCCACUUCCCUCCACACAGCUCAAUAAAGGGAUCAAGAAAUUCUUCGCACAGAGAUAACAGCAACAAGACACCUAAAGAGUUACCGCCUCCUUAUUGGAAAAGGCAAACAUUCUUCCACCUCCUGUUCCGUCUUUAAGGAGCCACCAGGAAGAAGUUGACAACAACCAGAGAACACCCUUUGUUUGAAAAGAAUUUAUGCAUCGUGUAUGAGAUAUGUAAAUAUGCAACAGGCUACUGCUUUUAAGGGUUAAUCCUUUGUUAGCAUCCGUGCUUUCAGGGCUUAAUUGGCCUAGGACAGGACUGUCCAUAUUUCUUUUUUUUUUAUUGUCCUUUAUUGUCCUAACUCUGUCCAAAUUCUUAUUACUCAAUUUUUAUUACCAUUUUAUUACUAUUAAACUUUUAAAA